CCCUUAGAUGUUCUGGGCCGCACGCGCGCUACACUGACGAAUGCAACGAGCUUAUAACCUUGGCCGAAAGGUCUGGGUAAUCUCCAAAUUUCGUCGUGAUGGGGAUAGAUUAUUGCAAUUAUUAAUCUUCAACGAGGAAUGCCUAGUAAGCGCAAGUCAUCAGCUUGCGUUGAUUACGUCCCUGCCCUUUGUACACACCGCCCGUCGCUCCUACCGAUUGAAUGGUCCGGUGAAGCGUUCGGACCGUGGCCUUUGGACGGUUCGCCGUCUGUUGGCUGCGGGAAGUUCGUUAGACCUUAUCAUUUAGAGGAAGGAGAAGUCGUAACA
rnacentral:rRNA from 1 species